rnacentral:snoRNA from 1 species
AGACCAUGAUGGGGACAAUGACUAAGCAAUUCUUUGUAUCUUUCUCAGGCUUCAUACAAUGAUUUCAAAUCUUGUUGCAUGAAUGAUGUGAUGUCGUUUAGCAU